rnacentral:rRNA from 1 species
UACAGAGGUCCCAAGCGUUGUUCGGAUUCACUGGGCGUAAAGGGUGCGUAGGUGGCCAGGUAAGUUUGGUGUGAAAGCUCGGAGCUCAACUCCGAAACGUCAUUGAAUACUACUUGGCUUGAGGGUCGGAGGGGAGACUGGAAUUCUCGGUGUAGCAGUGAAAUGCGUAGAUAUCGAGAGGAACACCAGUGGCGAAGGCGAGUCUCUGGACGACCCCUGACACUGAGGCACGAAAGCUAGGGGAGCAAAC